GCUAUAGUGUUUAUUUUUUUUUUUUUUAAUUUUGCAGGUGCACAUGGGAAGGACUGGUUUCUGAAAAUAGAAUUUUGCUCUGAGAUUUUAAGUAGACCAGAAUUUUUACUGGAAGUUCACCUUCAGGGUUUUGGGGGUUCCUUUCAAGUACAGACCUAAAGAAAGCAUGUUAGGACGCAGCCAGCAAAUCCACUUCCUAGUCCUGGGGUCAUACAUGGCACUUAUGCAUGAAUCACCAGAGAAGGAGCACCAAUACGCCUUUGCUUCUCCACAAUGCUUAUUUGGAGUUAACUAUAUCUCUUCUGCAAGAAAGUUAGGAUUCAAAGCCCACAGGAAAGGAUGGAUUAUUAAUAGCUGAAGGAGAUGCACACUUAGGAGGAGAAAGUAUGAGAGCGCUUGGAAGUCUUUCAGCUGGGUAAGGUAUUUGCCAGUUCCAGUGCUCCAGAUAAUUUUAGUCUUCUGACUUGCAUUUUCCAUCUGUUUUUCUCAGUUACUUGAAAUAAAGAAACUGUUUCUCAUUUCAAUUUACAUACAGAAUUCAUAAUCAUUUACUUUUUAGUUAAGCUCUAAAGUUCAAAAAUAUAUUGUCUUCUAGUGUGAAGUAGUUUUUAAUUAGUUUGCUUUUUUCUAAAUGCUCAGAUGUGGGACUUCCCUAAAACCAAAGCAAUUCUGACGUUUUUUUUAUGAGUGGUCUUAGCUACUGCUGUUUUUAAAUUAUGUUUCCCUAAAGUUGCAUAGAACACAGGUUAGAGAGUGACUUUGAGUUUCUCUCAACAUGUCAAGAAAUAUCUAUUCCAUUGCAAAAAAGGGAUAAAUAUCUUGCUCAGAAUUUUAUUUUCCUUGAGAAUGUGUGAUUUUACAGGCAUCUGACUGGGGGCAAGGAGUAAGAGUUUUCACAAGUUUUGUGUUACUUUAUCUAAGAAGAGAUGUCUCGAUUUCUCACAAGAGAUUGUUGGAUAUUAGGCAAUAUGCUAAUGCCUGCUGCUCAAACUAAGAGUUUUUAUUCCUGUAAGCUAGACAACAAGUAAAGGUAGGUGGCCUUGUAUCAUUGCCUUGGUCUUAAGCAUGAGUAGCAUAAGUUUAUGUUAUUUAGAAAAUGACUCUGAGUGCUUGUUGUGGGAUUGACAUUAUUGGGCAUGAUAAUCCACCUGAUAUCUAGUUCUGGAAAAAAAGUGAAAAAGCUGAUCCUAGUGCUUUUGUAUUUAAGAUUCAUAUCACCACUUAGUUUACAGUACUUUCCAUCCUUACCUGGAAUGAAUGAUGUGGCAUAAUUAAUUUCCAUGCCUCCAACGAAAUAUGAGAUUUGGUGUGGGGGGAAAUAAAAUUUUUUUUUUUUUUUUGGUAAUAGGGGUAGUUAAUUCUGAAGUCCACUUUGACACAAUUCUGAAGGUGUUUUGAAACCUUUAAUCCUCAUUAUAGGCUCCAUGUUUAAAUUAAUUUUCCAUAUAGGACUUCUGAAGGAAUGGCACUAGUAAAUGUUCUCUUUUGAAAAUUAAUCUUACAUAUUGAACACUGCAAUAACUAACUAAUGCUAUGAUGAAUGCCAAUAAAUUAUGCAAAAGUUGCAUACUAUCUUGUGUUUUACUGUGGGCUCCUGAUAAUAAAAUCUAUCCUCCUGAACCUAAAAUGAGAUGGGCACCUUUUGUUAUCUUCAGAAUAGGAGCACAGACUCUCCUUUCAUAUGGAAAGGCAACUUUCUGAAUUGUUUUAUUUCCACCGUAUUCACCUAGAGGAAUUAAAUAAGUGAUUUAUAUAAUUAGAAGCCAUUUGAAUGUUUACCAUAUUUCUCUAGAAUUUUGGCACAAGAACAUAAUGAGAAGCAAUGCAGAUUGUUUACUACAUAGUUU